rnacentral:misc_RNA from 1 species
CUUGGUCAUUUAGAGGAAGUAAAAGUCGUAACAAGGUCUCCGUUGGUGAACCAGCGGAGGGAUCAUUACCGAGUUUACAACUCCCAAACCCCUGUGAACAUACCUAUACGUUGCCUCGGCGGAUCAGCCCGCGCCCCGUAAAAAGGGACGGCCCGCCCGAGGACCCCUAAACUCUGUUUUUAGUGGAACUUCUGAGUAAAACAAACAAAUAAAUCAAAACUUUCAACAACGGAUCUCUUGGUUCUGGCAUCGAUGAAGAACGCAGCAAAAUGCGAUAAGUAAUGUGAAUUGCAGAAUUCAGUGUAUCAUCGAAUCUUUGAACGCACAUUGCGCCCGCCAGUAUUCUGGCGGGCAUGCCUGUUCGAGCGUCAUUUCAACCCUCAAGCUCAGCUUGGUGUUGGGACUCGCGGUAACCCGCGUUCCCCAAAUCGAUUGGCGGUCACGUCGAGCUUCCAUAGCGUAGUAAUCAUACACCUCGUUACUGGUAAUCGUCGCGGCCACGCCGUAAAACCCCAACUUCUGAAUGUUGACCUCGGAUCAGGUAGGAAUACCCGCUGAACUUAAGCAUAUCAAUAAGCGGAGGA